UACGUAGGUGGCAAGCGUUGUCCGGAAUUAUUGGGCGUAAAGCGCGCGCAGGUGGUUUCUUAAGUCUGAUGUGAAAGCCCACGGCUCAACCGUGGAGGGUCAUUGGAAACUGGGGAACUUGAGUGCAGAAGAGGAAAGUGGAAUUCCAAGUGUAGCGGUGAAAUGCGUAGAGAUUUGGAGGAACACCAGUGGCGAAGGCGACUUUCUGGUCUGUAACUGACACUGAGGCGCGAAAGCGUGGGGGGCGAACAGG
rnacentral:rRNA from 1 species